rnacentral:rRNA from 1 species
AUGGAAGGGUUGCUAAGCUUGUGUUUCAUAGCCCUAUGCACGCUACUGGUCGGUUGGUUUCUCAAGCUCUCGGGUGGCAAGAGCAAGCCGGCCGGGAAGCCGCAGCUCCCUCCGGGGCCAUGGACUCUCCCGAUUAUCGGCAGCCUCCACCACGUCGCCAGCGCCCUCCCACACCGCAGGAUGAUGGAGCUGUCUUGUCGGUACGGACCGCUGAUGCACCUCAUGCUAGGUGAGGUACCCACCGUGAUAGUCUCCAGCGCCGAGGCAGCGACGCUGGUGCUCAAGACCAACGACCCCGCGUUUGCGGGCCGGCCGAACAGCGUGAUUUUGGACAUCUUCAGCUGCGGUGGCAAGGGCUUCGCCUUCGCCCCAUAUGGCAGCCACUGGCGCCAGAUACGCAAGGUGUGCAUCGUGGAGCUUCUGAGCUCCAAACAGGUAAAGCGGAUGGAGGGCAUCAGGGCCGAGGAGGUGGCCAACCUCCUCCGCUCCAUGACCGCCUUGAAUGGCACCACCUUCAACAUCAGCGAGAAGAUGGCGACGCUCAGCAACAACCUCGUGUCGCGGGCGGUUUUCGGCGGCAAAUUCCCGCAGCAGGAGUUGUAUCUCCGCGAGCUGGACGAGGCGUUGCCGCUGAUGGGCGGCUUCUGCCUCGUCGACCUCUUCCCAUCAUCGCGGCUGGCCCGGUGGCUCAGCAGCGGCGAGCGCCUCAUGAAGAAGUGCCAUGGCCGCAUGCAGCGCAUAAUUUCAGACAUCAUUGAGGGACGCAAGGCUGCGCGAGCUGCCGGCGUUGGCGACGACGAGGAUGUGCUGAACGUGCUGCUCAGGCUGCAGCGGGAGGACACGUUGGAAUUCCCUCUAACCACAGAGACGAUAGGCGCCAUCUUGUUUGAUAUAUUUUCAGCAGCCACAGAGACUACAGGAAAUGUUUUGGAGUGGGCUAUGUCAGAGCUCGUCCGUCAUCCUGAAAUCAUGGGUAAGGCACAACAAGAGGUCAGAGAGGUACUAGGUCAAGAUCGAGCUACCAUUGGUAAUAGUGACCUUGGUGAACUCCACUACAUGCGGAUGGUCAUUAAGGAGGUUCUUAGGUUGCAUCCACCCGCUCCUCUACUCCCUCGCUCGGCCACAGAGGACUGUAAAAUUAUGGAUUGUGACAUGCUUAAGGGCACAAAUGUAUACGUUAACGUCUAUGCAAUUUCCCGAGAUCCAAGGUACUGGAAAAAUCCUGAAGAGUUUAAGCCUGAAAGAUUUGAGGACAACAACAUUGAUUACAAUGGGACAUACUCUGAAUACACCCCCUUCGGAGCUGGGCGACGGCAGUGUCCUGGGAUACUAUUCGGCACGUCAUCGCUCAAUAUCACAUUGGCAAACCUUCUGUAUCACUUUGACUGGAUGCUUCCUGAUGGGGCUAGUCUGUCUUCCUUUGACAUGUCUGAGAAAUUUGGUAUCACGGUUAGCAGAAGGCAUGACCUGCAACUCAGAGCUAUUCCACAUGAGUGGUUCAAAGCUACGUCGUCGUCCAAGUGA